GAGGAUAUAGCUCAGUGGUAAGAGUGUGUGCUUAGCACGCACUGAGGUCCUGGGUUCAAUCAAUCCCCAGUACCUCCA
rnacentral:tRNA from 1 species